AGAGUUUGAUCAUGGCUCAGAACGAACGCUGGCGGCGUGUCUAAGACAUGCAAGUCGUGCGAGAAAGGGACUUCGGUCCCGAGUACAGCGGCGCACGGGUGAGUAACGCGUGGGUAACCUACCUCGAAGUCUGGAAUAACCCGGGGAAACCUGAGCUAAUACCGGAUGAGCCUACGAGGCCUUCGGGUCAUGUGGGAAAAGAUGGCCUCUGCUUGCAAGCUAUCGCUACGAGAUGAGCCCGCGUCCCAUUAGCUAGUUGGUGAGGUAACGGCUCACCAAGGCGACGAUGGGUAGCUGGUCUGAGAGGACGAUCAGCCACACUGGAACUGAGACACGGUCCAGACUCCUACGGGAGGCAGCAGUCGGGAAUAUUGGGCAAUGGGCGCAAGCCUGACCCAGCGACGCCGCGUGAGGGAUGAAGGCCUUCGGGUCGUAAACCUCUGUCGGGAGGGAAGAAUGGCGGUGAGGCGAAUAGGCUCGCUGUCUGACGGUACCUCCAAAGGAAGCGCCGGCUAACUCCGUGCCAGCAGCCGCGGUAAUACGGAGGGCGCAAGCGUUGUUCGGAAUCACUGGGCGUAAAGCGCGUGUAGGCGGCCGGGCAAGUCGGAUGUGAAAUCCCGAGGCUCAACCUCGGAACUGCAUUCGAAACUGCUCGGCUCGAGUCCCGGAGAGGAUGGCGGAAUUCCCGGUGUAGGGGUGAAAUCCGUAGAUAUCGGGAGGAACACCAGUGGCGAAGGCGGCCAUCUGGACGGUGACUGACGCUGAGACGCGAAAGCGUGGGGAGCAAACAGGAUUAGAUACCCCAGUAGUCC
rnacentral:rRNA from 1 species